rnacentral:rRNA from 1 species
UGGGGAAUCAUGGUCAAUGGGCGAAAGCCUGAACCUGCGACGCCGCGUGAGUGAUGAAGGUCGUAAGAUCGUAAAACUCUUUUCAGGGAUCUUAAAGCCUGUCUGUCAACAACAGGCAGGUCUGACUCUCCCUGGAAGAAGCACCAGCCAACUACGUGCCAGAAGCUGAGGUAAUACGUAGGGGGCGAGCGUUAUUCGGAAUUACUGGGUGUAAAGGGUAUGUAGGCGGCCCUUCAAGUCGCGUGUCAAAGUCCAUUGCUCAACGCUG